rnacentral:rRNA from 1 species
GGACUACUGGGGUAUCUAAUCCCAUUUGCUCCCCUGGCUUUCGUUCCUCAGCGUCAGUUACGGCCCAGUAAGUCGCUUACGCCACUGGUGUUCUUCCCAAUAUCUACGCAUUUCACCGCUACACUGGAAAUUCCACUUACCUCUACCGCACUCAAGUCUGCCAGUUUCCAAUGCACUCCCGGGGUUGGGCCCCGAUCUUUAACAUCAGACUUGGCAAACCGCCUACGAACGCUUUACGCCCAAUGAAUCCGGACAACGCUUGCAUCCUACGUCUUACCGCGGCUGCUGGCAC